rnacentral:rRNA from 1 species
GAUGAACGCUGGCGGCGUGCCUAAUACAUGCAAGUCGAGCGAAUGGAUUAAGAGCUUGCUCUUAUGAAGUUAGCGGCGGACGGGUGAGUAACACGUGGGUAACCUGCCCAUAAGACUGGGAUAACUCCGGGAAACCGGGGCUAAUACCGGAUAACAUUUUGAACCGCAUGGUUCGAAAUUGAAAGGCGGCUUCGGCUGUCACUUAUGGAUGGACCCGCGUCGCAUUAGCUAGUUGGUGAGGUAACGGCCCACCAAGGCAACGAUGAGUAGCCGACCUGAGAGGGUGAUCGGCCACACGGGGACUGAGACACGGCCCAGACUCCUCCGGGAGGCAGCAGUAGGGAAUCUUCCGCAAUGGACGAAAGUCUGACGGGGCAACGCCGCGUGAGUGAUGAAGGCUUUCGGGUCGUAAAACUCUGUUGUUAGGGAAGAACAAGUGCUAGUUGAAUAAGCUGGCACCUUGACGGUACCUAACCAGAAAGCCACGGCUAACUACGUGCCAGCCGCCGCGGUAA